rnacentral:rRNA from 1 species
AGUGAACGCUGGCGGUAGGCCUAACACAUGCAAGUCGAACGGCAGCACAGGAGAGCUUGCUCCCUGGGUGGCGAGUGGCGGACGGGUGAGGAAUACAUCGGAAUCUACUCUGUCGUGGGGGAUAACGUAGGGAAACGUACGCUAAUACCGCAUACGACCUACGGGUGAAAGCAGGGGACCUUCGGGCCUUGCGCGAUUGAAUGAGCCGAUGUCGGAUUAGCUAGUUGGCGGGGUAAAGGCCCACCAAGGCGACGAUCCGUAGCUGGUCUGAGGAUGAUCAGCCACACUGGAACUGAGACACGGUCCAGACUCCUACGGGAGGCAGCAGUGGGGAAUAUUGGACAAUGGGCGCAAGCCUGAUCCAGCCAUACCGCGUGGGUGAAGAAGGCCUUCGGGUUGUAAAGCCCUUUUGUUGGGAAAGAAAUCCAGCUGGCUAAUACCCGGUUGGGAUGACGGUACCCAAAGAAUAAGCACCGGCUAACUUCGUGCCAGCCGCCGCAGUAA